rnacentral:rRNA from 1 species
GACGAACGCUGGCGGCGUGCUUAACACAUGCAAGUCGAACGGAAAGGCCUCUUUCGGGGGUACUCGAGUGGCGAACGGGUGAGUAACACGUGAGUAACCUGCCCUUGACUUUGGGAUAACUUCAGGAAACUGGGGCUAAUACCGGAUAGGAGCUCCUGCUGCAUGGUGGGGGUUGGAAAGUUUCGGCGGUUGGGGAUGGACUCGCGGCUUAUCAGCUUGUUGGUGGGGUAGUGGCUUACCAAGGCUUUGACGGGUAGCCGGCCUGAGAGGGUGACCGGCCACAUUGGGACUGAGAUACGGCCCAGACUCCUACGGGAGGCAGCAGUGGGGAAUAUUGCACAAUGGGUGGAAGCCUGAUGCAGCAACGCCGGGUGCGGGAUGACGGCCUUCGGGUUGUAAACCGCUUUCGCUCAUGACGAAGCUUUGUGUGACGGUAGUGGGUAAAGAAGCACCGGCUAACUACGUG